rnacentral:rRNA from 1 species
AGAAUCAACGCCGGCGGCGUGCCUCAGACAUGCAAGUCGAACGAUUAAACUUUCCUUCGGGAAAGAUAUAAAGUGGCGCACGGGUGAGUAACACGUAAGUAAUCUACCUUCGGAUGGGGAAUAACAGUCGGAAACGACUGCUAAUACCGCAUAAUGCAGCGGCACCUAAUGGUGACAGUUGUUAAAGUAUUUAUACGUCUGAAGAGGAGCUUGCGGCAGAUUAGCUAGUUGGUAAGGUAACGGCUUACCAAGGCUACGAUCUGUAUCCGACCUGAGAGGGUGGUCGGACACACUGACACUGAAUGACGGGUCAGACUCCUACGGGAGGCAGCAGUCGGGAAUUUUGGGCAAUGGGCGAAAGCCUGACCCAGCAACGCCGCGUGAAGGAUGAAGUCUUUCGGGAUGUAAACUUCGUAAGAAUAGGAAGAAUAAAUGACGGUACUAUUUGUAAGGUCCGGCUAACUACGUGCCAGCAGCCGC